rnacentral:misc_RNA from 1 species
UGCUGGAUCAUUAUCAAACACUACCAAUACGCUAAAUGCUGGUAAUUGUCAGUCCGAUUAGUCGGCCAUAGAGUUCCUCUGCCACUUUACGUGGGAAGUGAAUGUCGGUUGGAACGGUUUGAACGGCCCGGUGCCGGCUUUCAACCAUGCUUGUCUAUGACCGACGAAAGGGCGAAAUUCGUAACGGCUUCGCCUGGCUUCUAGGCAUUGCUGAGCAACUGUAGUCUUAUGUCCGUGGUUGUGUUGAAGCAAUGUGGUACGUUCGACUCCCCCGCCUCGGGGAGAUUGGACGAGAAUUAAUGAGCGCCUGUUUGGUGCCGCCAGGAAAACAACCAUUUUCUCAAUUUUUUCAAUCGAAAAUGAAUUAUUUAGUCUUAUCGGUGGAUCACUCGGUUCGUAGGUCGAUGAAGAACGCAGCCAACUGCGAUAAAUAAUGUGAACUGCAGAUAUUUUGAACAUUGAAAAUUCGAAUGCACAUUGCGCCAUUGGAAUUAUAUCCUUUGGCACAUCUGGCUCAGGGUCGUUAAUAAAAAACGAAUGCCUCUUUCGUUCUCCUAAACGCUAGCUGGAUCAUGAUGAAUGUACGUCGGCGUUUUCGGCUAUGCUAGGCUGAAUGCCAGUGCUAUUUGUCGUGUUCUUGCAUGAAUUGUAGAUAACCCGAAUGGCCGGGUGCGGUGUCGGCGAAUAUAUGUGGGUCAGCCUCUCGAUCCCAAUCGCCCUAUCACACUCCGGCAAUUCGCACGGGAAAUCGAUCUAUCGACCUGAGCUCAGAUGUGAGUACCUGCUGAACUUAAGCAUAUCAGUAAGCAGAGGAAAAGAAACUAACAAGGAUUCCCGUAGUAACGGCGAGUGAAUUGGGAAUAGUCCAGCGCUGAAUCCGGAUGUAUUUUAUAUCCAGAACUGUAGCGUAUAGAUGGUGGCAUUCUCCGUGUGAGACUUCGGUUUAAAUCUCCCUUGACUGGGGUUCCAAAGAAGGUGAAAGGCCUGUUGAACCGUUGUUUCCAUGGAAUAGCUAUUGUCUUGGAGUCGGGUUGUUUGGGAACGCAGCCCAAAGAAGGUGGUAAACUUCAUCUAAGACUAAAUAUGACUACGAAACCGAUAGCAAACAAGUACCGUGAGGGAAAGUUGCAAAGCACUUUGAAGAGAGAGUUAAAGAGGACGUGAAACCGAUAAGAUGGAAACGGAUAGAGUCAACGUAUCUAGCCUGUAUUCAGCUGCUCGCCGGUGGUCCGGCCUGCCAAACAAACCCGCUUCUGGUUGGUUGGUGGGUCCGCUCCGAUUGCCGGCCGAGUAGUGCAUUUGCAGGUGGAGUGCGCUGAGAGAUGUGGUUUAGCGAUUGGAUACCUAGCUUUGAGGGCACUUCUCUCGGGAAGUAAAUCCCGGGCUGGUGGAUGAUUGUUUGAGCUGCAUUCUGCCCGUAGGGAAAUGGCCUACGAAUUCGGGCGCCGGUGCGGCUAUCACUGGUAACGGUCACAUGUGACACGUGCCUGUUGUUGUCAUGUUGGUGUUCGGAUUCUCUUUUCCCAUCUCGGUGUAAAAGUUGGUCAUCUAUCCGACCCGUCUUGAAACACGGACCAAGGAGUUUAGCGUAUGCGCGAGUCAUUGAGUGUUGAAAACUCAAAGGCGUAAUGAAAGUGAAUUGUAAAUGAUAUGCGACCUAUAGCACUGCGGUGUAUUAGAGCAGCAUAGCCCCGUUCCAAUUGCAUGCAAUUGGGCGGAGGUAGAGCGUAUUCGCUGAGACCCGAAAGAUGGUGAACUAUUCCUGAGCAGGAUGAAGCCAGAGGAAACUCUGGUGGAAGUCCGAAGCGGUUCUGACGUGCAAAUCGAUCGUCUGACUUGGGUAUAGCGGCGAAAGACUAAUCGAACUAUCUAGCAGCUGGUUCCCUC